CAGCAUCAGCCACGGUAAUACGUAGGGUGCAAGCGUUAAUCGGAAUUACUGGGCGUAAAGCGUGCGCAGGCGGUUAUAUAAGACAGUCGUGAAAUCCCCGGGCUCAACCUGGGAACUGCGAUUGUGACUGUAUGGCUAGAGUGUGUCAGAGGGGGGUAGAAUUCCACGUGUAGCAGUGAAAUGCGUAGAUAUGUGGAGGAAUACCGAUGGCGAAGGCAGCCCCCUGGGAUAACACUGACGCUCAUGCACGAAAGCGUGGGGAGCAAACAGGAUUAGAUACCCCCGUAGUCCCUGUCUCUUAUAC
rnacentral:rRNA from 1 species